UUAAGAGCGACGGGCGAUGUGUACAUAUUUUAGAGCUUAAAUCAUUUUAAAUAAAUAUAAAAAUUACUAUCAAAUCCAAAUUCAAAUCUUUUUUAAAAAAAUCAUUCUUAAAUAAAUUUAUUGUAAUCCACCUCUUCUUAAAUAUAAACUACACCUUGAUCUGAUUUAUUUUUUAAUAAAAAAUCUUGAAUAUUUAAAUUCUAAUAAAAUAUUCCAUCUACGACGAUAUGUAAACUUAAAAUUUAAGUAUGUAUAAUCGUGGAUUAUCAAUUAUAGGGCAGAUUCCUCUGAAAAGACUAAAAUACCGCCAAAUUUUUUAAUUUUUAAGAAAAUAACUAAUACUAAUUUAGUAUAAAAAAUUUACAUUUAUAAUAAUAGGGUAUCUAAUCCUAGUUUA
rnacentral:rRNA from 1 species